rnacentral:rRNA from 1 species
CCUACGGGAGGCAGCAGUAAGGAAUAUUGGUCAAUGGGCGCAAGCCUGAACCAGCCAUGCCGCGUGCAGGAUGACGGCCCUCUGGGUUGUAAACUGCUUUUAUACGGGAAGAACAGCAUCUACGUGUAGGUGUUUGACGGUACUGUAAGAAUAAGGACCGGCUAACUUCGUGCCAGCAGCCGCGGUAAUACGAAGGGUCCAAGCGUUAUCCGGAUUUAUUGGGUUUAAAGGGUGCGUAGGCGGCUUUUAAGUCAGUGGUGAAAGCCUGAUGCUCAACAUCAGAACUGCCAUUGAUACUGAAGAGCUUGAGUACAGUUGAGGUUGGCGGAAUGUGUCAUGUAGCGGUGAAAUGCUUAGAUAUGACACAGAACACCGAUUGCGAAGGCAGCUAGCUAAGCUGUUACUGACGCUGAUGCACGAAAGCGUGGGGAGCAAACAGGAUUAGAUACCCUGGUAGUCCACGCCCUAAACGUUGAUAACUCGUUGUUAGCGAUAUACUGUUAGUCGACCGAACGACGAAGACAUUAAGUUAAUUACCUACCGUACGGAAGGUACGGUACGCGAGAGUAGUAACGUACGAAAGAAGUAGUAGGACGUAGAGACGAGCGACGGACGGACGACGAGGGAGGGAGGAG